UAGAGAGCUUUGGCACACCUCGGUGCUGCUGGAGCUGCUCGUCAGUCUGUUCUGCAGUCUGCUGCAGAGUUUGCUUUAUUAAAGCUCCCUGCACACAUUCACUGGCACAGACAUCGGGAGACAAGCAAACACUUAGCCGAGUGCAGAGUGCUUGCUGCUGCAUUGCAGGGUUUGCUGGCAACAAAGCGAUGAGGGACUCAGCAGAAAGGUCAGCAGGAAGGAACCCUUUCUGAGGAUAUCUUUUGGAUCUGAAGUCUGCCUUGGGAUAGGACAGGCUACCAAACGUACACGGAUUAGUAGACAGAAGAUACAGAUGCCUCAGAUUUGACAGCUGGAGCGGCCAAAUGUGAAUAAGGAGACAAGUUGCUGUAACACCCGUAAAACUGGUGCUUCAUGCUGCUCUUGGAAGGACCCUGGUUCAGCACAAAGUGCUCUGGGUGGUGAAGCUUCUGUAGUGAUGAACAGCAGGUUGAAGGUGAAGGUCUCUGCUGCGGCUUUUCCUCUUCUCUGAGUCACCAAGUUCCUUCAGAAGCCAAAGAACCAGGGAUUUCUGAUGUGGAAAACUUUCAUCUUGUCUGUGACAACAGUGAGAAGAAACAGGAAGAUUUGACAAUUGCAGGGGAGUUUCAGAGAGGAACCAAGAACUUCAAAGCUCCGAACUUGAGCACCUUGAGUGAAGGACACUGGUAAGGUACCUGGGGUAGCAUUAUGUUGCUCCCAGCUGGCCUAGGGGUGUUGUAUCCAAUUGGGACUACCACUGCAGAGACCAAAUGUAGUGAAAUCCUCAUGAACUGCAGUGUUGAUCUGAUCCUGUUUCCAAGCAGUGCGCUGAAGGCAUUGAUCUGCAUUCUCCUUCCUUUCUGUACUUUGCUUAUUUUCUCUUUUGUAAUGCAGAGCAGCACUCUGAGAUGAUAUUGUCAUUGUUUGCAGCUCCUGUUCAUUUCUAACCUGCUUGCCAGUGACUUGGUGAGGUUUGAAUUUUGCUAAAUCUUCUUUAUUGGCAGCUGAAAAGCGCUUUUGUGAUAUUGUUGUGUUGAUGUUGGAAAAGUGCAAAAGAUGGAUGGCAAGGAGUUAGAGAAAACAGAUGUCUCAGAGAAAUAGUAUGUUUCCAAUGAAAACAAAAGGUAGAAAAGGCCUGUCUUAGUGUAUUUAGCUGACCUCAAAGUUAGUAUUGGAAGCAUUUUUUCCUCUGUAUAUCUUAUUUUGUAUCAAGUUGAAGUGUUCCUAAUGACAAGAUCUCCCUUAUUUUACUUUGGUUUUCUCUCAUGCUGUACGUUAUUACUGUAAAUGGAUAUUACUCUUUGUCUGAAGAUGCAUAUCUCAAAGAUCUUCACUUUAUUUCCUCCUCCAAAAAGAGAACGUAUGAUUUGGGGCAUUGGCCUGUGCAAAGCAUAGUUUUAGCAGCUUUAUUGUUUCUCACAGAUUAUGAUCUGUCUGAAAUAUCUCCAAAUUCCUGAACAACCUCCUGCUGUUAACACCAUUACCAAAGUUGGGCCCUAGAGUCCUACAGGGUCACCCAGGUAUCCUUACUGCUAUGAUAGAUUGCAUUUAUCUUGUCUCCUUCUUUGAUGAAUGCUGAGCAAUAACAGUAAAUCUUUCUCUCCUUAUGUGCAGAAUUGGUUUUCAGUUGGAGUUGAGAACCUCCAGAGUAAAUCCAAGAAACAUUUGCAGGCAAAAAACCGUGGAAGAUCACAUUGCUGCUCCAGUUGCUGGAUACUUCCAAGUGGAAGGAGUGCAAAAUCCAGUUUUGCCUGUGCCAAUCUCAACCAUGCUUAACUUAUGUUCACAGAAGAAACUGAGCACAUUUUUGGGGUAGGUGUAACAUGUACCCAGCUGGCACAGCCAUAGUGGGGCUGCCGUUAGCUCUCUCCCUUCUGCACUGAUGGACACAUCGGGGGCACUGUGAGCCAUGCUCAGUGCAGAACAGGAAUGGAUGUGAGGCUGAGGUGAAAGGGAUGAUAGAAAACUACUCAGAAAUCAAGAGAAGUUUUGUAUUUUGUGAGCCUGAUUUGCUAAAAAUGCCCCCAGAUUUUAUUCUUCAUUCAAAAACAGGCUCUCUCCUGAAUAGAAAUCUGUCUAUUUGAAGUCUAAGUGACUUUGAGAUUAAACAACAAAUUAGGUUUCUGGAUUUUCAAAUUCUAUUUUAAUUGAAUGUUCUAGCCAUGCAGUAUGUAAAGAAACUGAGAAUGUCUGAUGCCAAAUGGCACACUUAUUAUUUGAAAUUUGAUGGCAAAUUUGCCCUUAAUUUUAUCCAAUUAUAUUAAGAGGUCUUUCUGUUACAAAACAUUACAAAGCAAUACUAAGGCCAGAGAGGUGCUAGAGAAAUCUUUUUUCUGUCAUGUGGAGCACUGUACAGAAUUGCGUGGGUUUAAACAAGAUGUAUCUUGAUGUUUUACCUUAAAACUCUCUGUCCUUUUCCUCAGUUCAGCUGAAUCCUAUGAAAUAGAUACGCAGCUUGGAGUUCUUCACGCCCCCACAAAUGCUAAAAAUGGCCCUGAUACAACAUGUAUUUAUGUAACAAAAUCAUCUGCAUUAAUAUCUUCCUUUCCUUUCGGCAAGAAGCACAGGGGGGGACUCAGGCUGACACAUUUCAAUGCAGCCCCUUCCAUUCUUCUUGCAUUUGGGGCAGCAGGGACAAGCAUAGCUCUCCCCUAAAAACCAGUGAAUGCACAGGAACAUGAUAUGACUAUCAAUAGAGAGUUUGAGGGAAGAUUGUCGUCCAAGCUUUCAGGUUCUCUCCCCCUGAAUAUUCAGUUUCCUGAUACAGAUCAAAAUCACUUGUAACAAGGAUUCUGGCCGCUCUUGUUGUGCUGAUGUUCCAAAAUAAAUAAGG